rnacentral:lncRNA from 1 species
CAGCCUGGUUCUCAAGGGCAAGGUGGAACAGAAGUUGCGUUGGUAUUUCAAGCUCUACGACGUGGACGGCAACGGGUGCAUAGACCGGGACGAGCUGCUCACCAUCAUCCGGGCCAUCCGAACCAUUAAUCCCUGGAGCGACUCAUCCAUGAGCGCUGAAGAAUUCACAGAUACCGUGUUUGCCAAGAUCGACAUCAACGGGGAUGGGGAACUGUCUCUGGAGGAGUUCAUGGAAGGUGUCCAGAAGGACCAGAUGCUCCUGGACACGCUGACCCGAAGCCUGGACUUGACCCGCAUUGUGCGCAGACUUCAGAACGGCGAGCAGGAGGAGGCAGGCGCUGGCGACCUGGCAGCGGAGGCUGCCGGUUGAGCCUCACCCUGUGGUCUGGGUGCUGAGGGCUGGCCCCCUGCGGUGCCUGGUGUAGUUGUUCUGUUCUUGUCUUAACAUUACAUAGAACCUCCCGAACACAG